CCCUUAGAUGUUCUGGGCCGCACGCGUGCUACACUGAGUGGAUCAGCGGGUCAGGUUGCGCGAAAGCGUUUCCUAAUCUUUAAAUCCGCUCGUGAUGGGGAUUGACGGUUGCAAUUUUCUGUCAUGAACGAGGAAUACCUUGUAAGCGCGGGUCAUCAUCCCGCGCUGAAUACGUCCCUGCCCUUUGUACACACCGCCCGUCGCACCUACCGAUUGGAUGGUCCGGUGAAAUCUUGGGAUUUUGUUUUGUUUGCAUUUAUUUGUAUCGAGACGAGAGAACUUGAGUAAACCUUACCAUUUAGAGGAAGGUGAAGUCGUAACA
rnacentral:rRNA from 1 species